GGGGAUUGGGAACCACUAGUUCUUUCAGAUGGUACUCUUCAGACUAGAAGGAGCUUCCAGUUGAAUUCACCAGGGGACAAAAUGAGGACAACAGGUACCCCUCAAUAAAGGCACCCGAAGGCUUAAAGUAGGACAACCCUGGCGCCUUCCUGUGGCAAGAGAGACAACAAAGCGCUAUUAAACUAAGGUCAAUCUAAGUGGUGUCAGCCUCACAACCCCACCUUCGGUUAGACAUGAGGACUUGCCUCAACUGCCUCUGGGGAGUGAAGCAUCCAAAGGAAUGCCUGCGUACCUUGCGUACCCCCGGCCUGUGUAACGCCUCCCUGGGCUGUUUUUAGAGCAGCCCUUGAUGAAGCCCAGACCUGAGUGGUGCUUGAAGGGGAGGGAAAGGGGGAAAGCGGGCAACCACUUCUCCCUAGCUUUUCCAGAAACCUGUUAAAAAGCAAGGUCUCCCCACAAGUGACUUCUCUGCCACAUCGUCACCCCCUGCCUUUGGCCUAGCGCAGACCCUUCACCCCUCACCUCGAUGCUGUCGGUAGCUUGGAUCCUUGUGGGCAUGAUCCAUAAGCAGUUUAAGGUAACUGGUGCCGAGGUCUUGGGUGGGUUGCACUGUUAGAAAAGACCGUUAAUUUGCCUGUAAACGUUUAAUGACAUUAAGACCACAACUAAAAAGCUCUCAGAUGUUUUAAAAGUAUAGCAAACUGAAGGAGAUAGGCAUUUUAGCAGUUGAGGGCUGUUGGGUGGGAAUGCAAAAACUCUCUGCUAAGACUUUUUCAGGUGAACAUAACAGACUUGGCCAAGCUAGCAUCUUAGCUGAAGCAGAUUCUCCAGUGCUCUUCAGUAGGGUCUUAAAAUUUAAAGGUUUUGCUUUUUGGCCUUUACCUAGCUUUAAAAAAAAAAGCAAAAGAUGCUGGUGGUUGGCACUCCUGGCUUCCAGGACAGGGUUCAAAUCCCUGCGGCGUCUUUGCUUGACUUUUACUUCUGCCUUUCCGUUUUCCUCCUUUUUCUUCAGAUGAAGUUAGGGGAAGUGGAAGUAGCUUCAAACUAUACUAUACCUCUUGAUUGAAUUUGUCCUAAACUGGUUUGUGUUUGUAUUUUCACAGGAAUCUAGUGUAAUUACUUUGCCCUUUUAAUUUUCAGGUAUCUCUCAUGCAUCUGUUGUUUGGAGCAGUCUCACUAUUUUUAAAAAUAGAUGACAUAUUAAUAAAGGUUGAAAAACUUCAUUGGUGUGAUUCUUUUGUGCAUAAGCUGAACUUCUCUAUCCAUGAGUAGUCAGAAGAUGGGUGUCUUGUGGGGGUUCUUGUUCCUGUUUUAACUAGUUGUCUAAAAAGCACACUGCACUGUCAAGCCACCAAAUUUCUAGGGGGGCAGGGGACCCCUCUGGAGGGGGAGGUGGUCUAGUGGGUGAGUGACCCGAAAGACCCAGUAACAUACCCACAGAAAUAAGAAGGGACACUUUAAAGCAGCAGUUGGCCGUGAGUGUGGCUGGAUCUGGAGAGCUGGAGACCACGUGGUCUGGUAGGUUGUCGAUUCCCAAGCUGUAAAGUGAUCUUGUGGUCACCUGUCCUGUGGAAUGGCCAGUGUUCCGGCAGAUAGACCUUCAAUUGCAACUGAAGUGCCCUUUUUAAGUCCUACCCAUCUUUUAAGUCCUUGCUUCUCAAGCCCUGUUCCCUGAAAAGGAGAGC
rnacentral:lncRNA from 1 species